rnacentral:snoRNA from 1 species
ACCCUCUAGAUUUCCUUCCCCAUCAGAUCUAAACGUUGGUCUGAGUGCCGACACAAGAAGGAUAAACAAAAGUGACAUAGACUUGGAUUCUUUUGUGACAUACAUUUCAAACAAUA